rnacentral:rRNA from 1 species
UACGGGGGGGGCAAGCGUUGUUCGGAAUUACUGGGCGUAAAGGGCUCGUAGGUGGCCAACUAAGUCAUACGUGAAAUCCCUCGGCUUAACCGGGGAACUGCGUGUGAUACUGGAUGGCUUGAGUUCGGGAGAGGGAUGCGGAAUUCCAGGUGUAGCGGUGAAAUGCGUAGAUAUCUGGAGGAACACCGGUGGCGAAGGCGGCAUCCUGGACCGGCAUUGACGCUGAGGCGCGAAAGCCAGGGGAGCAAACGGG